GGAUCGGCAGCUGGAUCUUACUGUCCUGGACUGAGCACAGACAAACACAGGCAAACAACAACCCCAGGAAAGGACUUCAGUGCCUACAGCACCCCUCAUUCCUGCUGCAGGGGCCUGAGCUAAGGGGUCAAGCCAGAUGUACCAGACAGACUGUGUUUGCAUUCGCUUCCUGAAAAACAUUCCUCGUGACCCUGCAGCUGGAUGAAGCCAGGAUUACAGCUUUGCUGCACUGAACACCCUUCCUGUCCUCUGGGAUGAUUUCAGAAGGCCUUUAAACCCAGUACCAACCCUCACUCACCUUCAAAUUCAGGAUGUGAUCCAUUAUUAGGAAACACCUCGGACGACCGGUCUCGGGAUCCGAACCUCCACCCCUCUGCUGUGGAUCCCAAUUCAGCAUCAGUUGCAACCAAUUUUCCAUGGGUUCUACAAUCAAACUGAAGCAGAGGGGCUGUAAGGAAGGGAAGGCAGAUAUUCUCUUCACCAGACUGAGGCAGCUCAACUUCCUGGGCCUCUUCUUGAGUGCUCUAUUCAACAGGCUCUGCCCAUCUUUGUGGCCUGCCCUGCACUUGCAGCAGUUUUCCCAAUACAGCCUCUGCUUCCAUGGAGAAACUCCCUCGAGUUCUUGGUUCAUGAGAUUCAAUACCAUCAAGUUAUCAGGUAGAUGUUACUCACUGGCCUUGUGGUAAAGGGCAGAAAGCAGACACAGAGUUCUGAGCUGCCAUCAACUCACAAACUGGGCACAGGAGAGCCCAAAACACCAAAAAAAGAGCCACGUGGGCUAUUCCUUAACAGCAAACAGCAGCUUGCCAGGAGCUUUCAAUGCUCCUGAGGAGGAAGAUGGAGGAGCCCUCAGUGCUUAGGAGGAAGGAGGGAGAGCCCUCAGUUUACAGGACCAAAGUGGUCACCUGUGCUAGGGACACACUCACCCACAGAGGCUGUGGGGCUGCGGCAGGUGGGUGCUGAACCGAACCUCCCCGUUCAUCUCCUCGGAGGCAAAGAUGUGCUUCGGGUCCUUCUUCUUGAUUUUUUCAUGCCUGCAAAACAAAAUCCUCUGUGG